AACCAGACUCCUACGGGAGGCAGCAGUGGGGAAUAUUGCACAAUGGGGGGAACCCUGAUGCAGCGACGCCGCGUGGGUGAAGGAGUACUUCGGUACGUAAAGCCCUAUCAGCAGGAAAGAAAAUGACGGUACCUGUCGAAUAAGCCACGGCUAACUACGUGCCAGCAGCCGCGGUAAUACGGAGGAUGCGAGCGUUAUCCGGAUUUAUUGGGUUUAAAGGGUGCGCAGGCGGCACGGCAAGCCGGCGGUCAAAUCGCGGGGCUCAACCCCGCCCAGCCGUCGGAACUGCCGGGCUAGAGUGGGCGAGAAGUGCGCGGAAUGCGUGGUGUAGCGGUGAAAUGCAUAGAUAUCACGCAGAACUCCGAUUGCGAAGGCAGCGCACCGGCGCCCUACUGACGCUCAGGCACGAAAGCGUGGGUAUCGAACAGGAUUAGAUACCCCUGUAGAU
rnacentral:rRNA from 1 species